rnacentral:rRNA from 1 species
UACAGAGGUCUCGAGCGUUAGGCGGAAUCACUGGGCUUAAAGCGUGUGUAGGUGGAUGCCUAAGUACCUUGUGAAAUCCCACGGCUUAACCGUGGAACUGCUUGGUAUACUGCUUAUCUUGGGCCACUUAGGGGCUACCGGAACAAACGGUGGAGCGGUGAAAUGCGUAGAUAUCGUUUGGAACGCCAAUGGUGAAAACAGGUAGCUGGGAGUGUGCUGACGCUGAGACACGAAAGCCAGGGGAGCGAACGGG